GACGUAGGGCGCGAGCGUUGUCCGGAUUUAUUGGGCGUAAAGAGCUCGUAGGCGGCUUGUCGCGUCGUCCGUGAAAACCUGGGGCUCAACCCCAGGCUUGCGGUCGAUACGGGCAGGCUAGAGUUCGGUAGGGGAGACUGGAAUUCCUGGUGUAGCGGUGGAAUGCGCAGAUAUCAGGAGGAACACCGAUGGCGAAGGCAGGUCUCUGGGCCGCAACUGACGCUGAGGAGCGAAAGCAUGGGGAGCGAACAGG
rnacentral:rRNA from 1 species